GACAUACAUAUUUCAUUCAAACAUCUGGACGGAAGAGCAUCUCAAUGGAAGAACACUAAACCUUUAAAUUAAAUCUCACGGAAGGAGCCAUUUUUAAGGCUCCACUGAAAUAGUCAUGUGCUUUACACCAUUUUUUUUUCACAAAUCUGAAGCAAGUCUAAAUCCAGUGUUUUCCAUAUAUUACUUCAUCAUAAAGAAAUCUUGAUAUGUAAAUAAAUCAAAGCUUCACUGAGCUUAAAUUCAUGGAGUUUUCAGUUUGGAAAAAUAUUAAUAGCUAGUCUAAUUAGGUUAAAAACAAAGGAACGGCAGAGAAGACUUGGACUUCUUCUCCGUCGGCGGAGGAACGACGGAGAAUCAAAAAAGAAACCUUUUGCAGACUGAUUCCUAAGAUGCAUUGGAAUUUUUCUUGGCCUUCGCCGGAGAAGACUUGGACUUCUUCUUCGCCAUUGUUGUUCGUCAAACUGCAGAUCCAAUUCAGUAAGCUUUUGAGUUCACUUAAUCUACGUUCCAGUUGUUAGAAAGAGAGAUGAAGAAAUUAGAAUUUUCUUGGUCUGGAGAAAGUGAAAGUAGAUAUGUGUUUU
rnacentral:lncRNA from 1 species